CAUGGCAAACUAGUUGAAUAUCAUAGAGGAUAUAUUAGAGAACUCGUAUGUGAAGGAGAUUCGUGGUGGGAGAGUGAGUGAUCUUUAAGCAGUAAACAAAUUGAGAACUGGCAAAUACAAGUUUGGCAGUAACUCAGUAUCGUUCUGCUUAUUGAGACUCGUUUUUUGCCGUUUUAUGUGCAACAUCUCGGAAAUAAGCCUUUUGCUAUAAGACAUUUCCUUGUCUAAUAUUUCUACAUUCUCCCAAUCCAUUUCAUGGUUUUUUUCUAAUCUAUGACAAGAAAUGACAGAAGGGGAUCCCGUUCUUUUAUUUAUAUCCGACUUGUGUUCUUUAAUUCUAUGUCCACUCAAACGACACGGACCUCCAAUAUCAUUUUUAGCAAACUGACUCGCUACACCGAAUUUAGUUUUGGUUCUUAGUUUUUUUAAAAUAAGAAAGUUUACACGAAAACACAACAUGACGGUACUGCUAUGCAUUGAGGUAAGAAUAUUUUUAGUAAUUUUAAUAAAUAACAAGUAAUAUAAAGAUAAAAAUAGACAUUGGUUCAUGCUGGUUUUAGAAUAAUUGCAAUCAACCACAAUUCAAGUCUUAAAAAGGACAUCGUGUAUGUUUAAUGUAAAACAUGAUUUCCUUCCUGAUGAUCUUAAGAUUGGUGUUAUUAGAAGAGGCAUGACUUUCAAGAUGUGUUGUCCUCUAAACAAUUUUUAAAUGUAACGAAUAUAAGAAGAUUGUAAUAUCCGAAUUAGUUUUAUAAGUAACGAUUGUUUAUUAAUAUGUUCCGAAUUUUAUAAUAACUAACUACUGAAGAUGACCACAACCAGAUGGUCGAAACGUCUAGAUUGACCUAAACAUUUGUUAUAAUAUAUUAAUAAAUUAAGCACGAAAAUCCAGCUUGGGCUCUGUAGCUUGUUGUUAAUAAUUUAUUAUCUUAAUAUAUGAAUUGUCAAGGCAUAAACGAGAAACACUAAGAUCUUUCUGCCCAUAUGCGAUAAUGGAUAAGUUUGUUAUAAAAAAGCAUCAAGAAGCAGUG